CACGUAGGGCGCAAGCGUUGUCCGGAAUUAUUGGGCGUAAAGAGCUCGUAGGCGGUCUGUUGCGUCCGCUGUGAAAACUCGGGGCUUAACCCCGAGCCUGCAGUGGAUACGGGCAGACUAGAGGUAGGUAGGGGAGAAUGGAAUUCCCGGUGUAGCGGUGAAAUGCGCAGAUAUCGGGAGGAACACCUGUGGCGAAGGCGGCCAUCUGGACAACUACUGACACUGAGACGCGAAAGCGUGGGUAGCAAACAGG
rnacentral:rRNA from 1 species